UCAAAGGCAAACUGGAGCUAAAGUCAUGGGGAAGCAUAGCACCACUUCCUCUUGUUUUCAAGUUCAUCCUGUUUUUAGGCUCUUUUUGGUGGAAACAAGAGUGCCACAAGCAAUCAAGUCUCAUUAGCUGAACCCUCAGCAAAGAACCAGUGACUGACUCCAUAUGCGGGAGACUUCAACCCAGCUGACAGAUGCUAUUUCUCUCUGUCCCUGCUGACCCAGGCUGGGGAGACAGCAUAUUUCAGACAGGAUGCCCUCCCAAGAGUUGUGAUGCAACCCUGGAAAAAAUAUCUGUUCAAGAUCCCAAGCCAGGAUCUGGUUUCUGCCAAUUCAGAGUGACAGGGAUCAGCGGCUAAGACACUGGCCAUUACAGGAGGUCUUCCAGCAAAACCAAUCAACCAAUACACAUGGAAAAUGCAUCAUACAAACUUUUCAGAUCAGAGCUGGGGCUUUGCCUUGUGUCAGCCGACGAAGAACUCCCAAGGCCGUUCUGGAUUGAAUCUCAGCGUAGAGAUAUGUAAUAUGCCACCAACUUUCCUCCCUUCUACCGGCUCCUUUGAAAGAGAGUCCUUCACAAGCAGUUCAAGGAAAAAGCACAUUAACAAUGACAAUUUACACUUACCAGCUGGGGUGGUGAAGGUUAAAGGCAAACCAAAGUAAACUGACAAUGAUAAAGAACUUAAAAGCCUAUGCUUUAAAAAAAAAUACUCAAAUCUGUCCUUCGAUUGCUAGGUCGGCCGAUUAGCUGUACAACCCUUGGCAGUCUCUUGAACUCUUUGGACCUCAUUUUUCGUGUCUAUGAAAUGAGAGAGUUGAACCUAGCGACUUUGAGGUUCCUCCCAGUUCUAACCGGUCAUGGUUUAUGAUCAAAGGCUGUGGCUACACCCCUGACCACCCACCCCUCACAAAGCCUCACGCCUGACUCCUCCCUCUUAAGGCUCUGUCUAUACUGCGUUGUCUGAACUUCACAGGUGAUGGUGGCAAAUGAAGGUGGCAUGACAUCUUUUUGUUGCUUGGUCUUUACAAGCAUCUCAGAUCAAAUUAAUAUUAAAGAGGGAAAUAGACAAAUGAAAUAAGACUACUAAGAUGAUAUUCUUCACAAAGGAAUAAAAACACAUAUUCCUCAAAAAGGAGGGGAAAACCACUUUUGGAAACUCUCUGGACAUUUUUUUCCAAGAAGGGACCCAGGGAGCCAUUUUUACAUUGUACUUCCUCAAUCCUCAUUCUUGAAGCUCUAAAUCUUCUUGUUUUCCAUCUCCCUUGAGAUUAGGAAGGAGGGAGAGAUAUUUUUUCUCUCUAUCCUCUGAGUUGGCCAAAUCUGGAUGACUCCUACAUGCCUCUACGGUAAUUUCCUAUGCUAUGCUAAUAUCUGGGACUUGCUGGUAAACCUUAAUUAGGUCCAUCUACCAUGGGAGUCAAGCUUUUAUAAAGAUACUCUUUUUUUUUUUUUUUUUUUUUUUGAGAUGGAGUCUUGCUCUGUCACCCAGGCUGGAAUGUAGUGGUGCAAUCUUGGCUCACUGCAACCUCCUCCUCUUGGGUUCAAGUGAUUCUCCUGUGCCUCAGCCUCCCGAGUAGUGGGGAUUACAGGUGCCCGCUACCAUGCCCGGGUAAUUUUUGUAUUUUUAGUAGAGACAGGGUUUCACCAUGUUGGCCAGGCUGGUCUCAAACUCCUGACUUCAAGUGAUCUGCCCAUCUUGGACUCCCAAAGUGCUGGGAUUACAGGCAUGAGCCACCAUAUGCAGCCGAUUUUAUAAUGAUACUCUAAAUAACACUUUUCCUACACUGGAUAUGCACAAAGAUCAAUUGGUGAACCCUUCCCACCCUUGUUUUUGAAGCAAACGGAACUGCAGGGCAACAAGCUUUCCUUCCACCUGCCGCGGAGGACCUAGUAAAACCCCGGGUGUGGAGUCUGCAGGGAUUUCUGCCUCCAAACCCACCUUCCCCCAAAUGAAGAAGCUUUCAAGCAUUUGGUUGAAUCCAAGUAUUCGGUGACCUGAUGGGUAAAUAUAAAUAAAAGCUUAAUUUUUAAAACCAAAAAUUCUGAAUCCAGCUAUGCACACGCUGUAGAGUAUAGUGCUGCUAUUACAUUUGGGUCCUACAUUCACGGGCCCAAACACCUAUU
rnacentral:lncRNA from 1 species